UGCAACUGUUUAUUAAAAACACAGCACUGUGCAAACACGAAAGUGGACGUAUACGGUGUGACGCCUGCCCGGUGCCGGAAGGUUAAUUGAUGGGGUCAGCGCAAGCGAAGCUCCUGAUCGAAGCCCCGGUAAACGGCGGCCGUAACUAUAACGGUCCUAAGGUAGCGAAAUUCCUUGUCGGGUAAGUUCCGACCUGCACGAAUGGCGUAAUGAUGGCCAGGCUGUCUCCACCCGAGACUCAGUGAAAUUGAACUCGCUGUGAAGAUGCAGUGUACCCGCGGCAAGACGGAAAGACCCCGUGAACCUUUACUAUAGCUUGACACUGAACAUUGAGCCUUGAUGUGUAGGAUAGGUGGGAGGCUUUGAAGUGUGGACGCCAGUCUGCAUGGAGCCGACCUUGAAAUACCACCCUUUAAUGUUUGAUGUUCUAACGUGGACCCGUGAUCCGGGUUGCGGACAGUGUCUGGUGGGUAGUUUGACUGGGGCGGUCUCCUCCUAAAGAGUAACGGAGGAGCACGAAGGUUGGCUAAUCCUGGUCGGACAUCAGGAGGUUAGUGCAAUGGCAUAAGCCAGCUUGACUGCGAGCGUGACGGCGCGAGCAGGUGCGAAAGCAGGUCAUAGUGAUCCGGUGGUUCUGAAUGGAAGGGCCAUCGCUCAACGGAUAAAAGGUACUCCGGGGAUAACAGGCUGAUACCGCCCAAGAGUUCAUAUCGACGGCGGUGUUUGGCACCUCGAUGUCGGCUCAUCACAUCCUGGGGCUGAAGUAGGUCCCAAGGGUAUGGCUGUUCGCCAUUUAAAGUGGUACGCGAGCUGGGUUUAGAACGUCGUGAGACAGUUCGGUCCCUAUCUGCCGUGGGCGCUGGAGAACUGAGGGGGGCUGCUCCUAGUACGAGAGGACCGGAGUGGACGCAUCACUGGUGUUCGGGUUGUCAUGCCAAUGGCACUGCCCGGUAGCUAAAUGCGGAAGAGAUAAGUGCUGAAAGCAUCUAAGCACGAAACUUGCCCCGAGAUGAGUUCUCCCUGAGACUUUAGGUCUCCUGAAGGAACGUUGAAGACGACGACGUUGAUAGGCCGGGUGUGUAAGCGCAGCGAUGCGUUGAGCUAACCGGUACUAAUGAACCGUGAGGCUUAACCUU
rnacentral:rRNA from 1 species